rnacentral:rRNA from 1 species
CAGCCGCCACGGUAAUACGAAGGGGGCUAGUGUUGUUCGGAAUUACCGGGCGUAAAGGGCGCGUAGGCGGCCAUUCAAGUUAGAUGUGAAAGCCCUGGGCUCAACCUAGGAAUUGCAUUUGAUACUGUUUGGCUUGAGUUCGGGAGAGGUGAGUGGAAUUCCCAGUGUAGAGGUGAAAUUCGUAGAUAUUGGGAAGAACACCAGUGGCGAAGGCGGCUCAUUGGCUCGAUACUGACGCUGAGGUGCGAAAGCGUGGGGAGCAAACAGGAUUAGAUACCCCCGUAGUCCCUGUCUCUUAUAC